UCAGAGCCAGGCCGGUUGCCGCCUCGGCGCUAGUAGCGAAGGAGCGCAGCCCAGGGGGCGCAGCCCGGGACCUGGAGCCCACCCGCCUGAUGAAAGGAGCUCCCUGGGAUGAAAAGGUGGCAGAGGAGGAAAUCUACUCAGGAAUGAGACCUGGCCACUGAGUUACAGAGAGCUAAAUAACUUGCCCAAGUUCACACAGCUAUAAGAGGGCAGAGCUCGAUUUCAGCACCAGAUCUCUGUGUCUCCAAAGCUCGUGCUUAACCGCAGAUCUGCAGUGGCCUCCAGGAUGUCCUGGAUGGAGUCCCUGAGACCAUGCCCUCCAAAUUCAGCAAUGGUGGUCAAAAUGGCUAAGGUGGAAGUCAGGCCUCAGCAGCCUGUUUUCAGAAAAAAAAACAAGCACCAAAAUUCAGGACCUGGGCCCUGACCCUGGAAGGUGUCCAUGGACAGAUGCGAUAUCUGGCUCCUGACUUGAUUAUUCGGAUUCAAACCCCGCUCCACCACUUACAGGGUGA